ACUUCAAACCACUUAUUUUCGGACUUCAUUCUCAUUCAGAGAUCUCAUCCAUCGCAGCCAAACCCUUCUUCCUUACACAGCCUCACACAACCCCCAUUUGAACCUUAGAGAAUCUGAGAAGCCACCAUCGUCGCACACCCUUGCUAGGGCUUCUGGUGACUACGCUGUUGUUAUCAGCCACAACCCUGAUAACAAUACCUCCAGAAAUGCGGAGAUCAAAUGCUAAUGCACGUGUGCACAUUUUCACUGAUUGAUGGAUGAAGCUAACUCAAUACCAACGAGGGAUGAAGCUAACUCACACUCAAUACCAAUGAUGAUGGAGGUAAACCAGGGGGUGGAAGAAGGUUUUGCUUCUAAUCAGCCACCACCUAUGACUGAAUCUACACCAGCGGUUGUGACCUCUCAAGAGCAGACUAGUGCAGCUGAUCAACUUCCACCGU